UGGAUUACCACUCUAUCUUUGGCGGAUACAUUGAUAAUACGGAUAUAUACUUAAAUGCCAACUAUCAUACUUUACGUAUCAACUCUCAUUCCACUCCUUAGCUGACUCUAGAUCUUACCAAAUGAUAUAUAUAUACUCUUUUCUAUUGGAAUAAUGAAGGUGCUUAUCAAAAGAAUAUCUAUACAAAACCCUCUUUCAAACAAAUUUCCUCUUCAAAUAAAUAUUUAACAUCUUUCCCCAGAAUGGUUGUUCAUAGAUAUUAUUCCUCGACAGAUACCUACUAACUGAUCUUACAUUUGGU
rnacentral:lncRNA from 1 species